AUUGAACGCUAGCGGGAUGCUUUACACAUGCAAGUCGAACGGCAGCACGAGAGAGCUUGCUCUCUUGGUGGCGAGUGGCGGACGGGUGAGUAAUGUAUCGGAACGUGCCCAGUAGCGGGGGAUAACUACUCGAAAGAGUGGCUAAUACCGCAUACGCCCUACGGGGGAAAGGGGGGGAUCGCAAGACCUCUCACUAUUGGAGCGGCCGAUAUCGGAUUAGCUAGUUGGUGGGGUAAAGGCCUACCAAGGCGACGAUCCGUAGCUGGUUUGAGAGGACGACCAGCCACACUGGGACUGAGACACGGCCCAGACUCCUACGGGAGGCAGCAGUGGGGAAUUUUGGACAAUGGGGGAAACCCUGAUCCAGCCAUCCCGCGUGUGUGAUGAAGGCCUUCGGGUUGUAAAGCACUUUUGACAGGGAAGAAAUGACAGGAGCUAAUAACUUCUGUAGAUGACGGUACCUGUAGAAUAAGCACCGGCUAACUACGUGCCAGCAGCCGCGGUAAUACGUAGGGUGCAAGCGUUAAUCGGAAUUACUGGGCGUAAAGGGUACGCAGGCGGCUAGGAAAGAAAGAUGUGAAAUCCCAGGGCUCAACCUUGGAACUGCAUUUUUAACUACCUGGCUAGAGUAUGUCAGAGGGGGGUAGAAUUCCACGUGUAGCAGUGAAAUGCGUAGAGAUGUGGAGGAAUACCGAUGGCGAAGGCAGCCCCCUGGGAUAAUACUGACGCUCA
rnacentral:rRNA from 1 species